rnacentral:rRNA from 1 species
UACGGAGGGUGCAAGCGUUGUUCGGAAUUAUUGGGCGUAAAGCGCGUGUAGGCGGCUGUCUAAGUCUAAUGUGAAAUCCCGGGGCUUAACUCCGGAACUGCAUCGGAUACUGGACAGCUAGAGGAUGAGAGAGGGUGAUGGAAUUCCAGGUGUAGGGGUGAAAUCCGUAGAUAUCUGGAGGAACAUCGGUGGCGAAGGCGGUCACCUGGCUCAUUUCUGACGCUGAGACGCAAAAGCGUGGGGAGCAAAC